rnacentral:rRNA from 1 species
UACGUAGGGCGCAAGCGUUGUCCGGAAUUAUUGGGCGUAAAGAGCUCGUAGGCGGUUUGUCGCGUCUGUCGUGAAAGCUUGGGGCUUAACCCCAAGUCUGCGGUGGAUACGGGCAGACUAGAGGCAGGUAGGGGAGAACGGAAUUCCCGGUGGUAGCGGUGAAAUGCGCAGAUAUCGGGAAGAACACCGGUGGCGAAGGCGGCUCUCUGGACCUGUCCUGACGCUCAGGCGCGAAAGCUAGGGGAGCGAACAGG